CCCUAAUGACCUAACCUUACCUAAAUAAAAUGUGAACAUACUAUAUACCUAAAAUGUAGAACAACAACUACAGACCUCAUAAAUAGCCAUGUGUAAACCCUUACAGGGAAUUAUUAAUUCUAUCAUGAAUACACGACAAACUGCAGAAAUAAAAGGUGAACUCUGUUGUGUUUAUACCCAGUUAAUUACAACAUAUUACAUUGAUAUUCCUGUUAAAACUUAUGAGGCACAGUACUUGCAGAAGGCAGCACUUACUUGUGUUGCCUUUGAGUCCUGAAUGAAUGCUUGUUUAGCACAUUUUCAGUAUAAACUGGCUGCUACUUCUGUGUUGACCUGCUUGGUUUGUUUGGCCAGGGGAAUUCUGGGCAAACGAGUUCAGACGGCGAGGGGUGACGUGGGGACGCAGUAACAGCUGUGUUUGCUAGGACAAGGCAGAGACAUGUGUUUGGUUUCUCCUCUGUGUACCUCCCAAGAGCUCCACAAUGCUGAAGUUUGGCCACUUGAAUAAAAUGCACAUCCAAAUUAGGGCAAUCCACAUAGUACACACAAAAAUACAAAGAGAAAGACUUGCGAUUGAGUAAAAAAAAAUGAAAAGUUGAAAGUUGAGUGAGAAGCAACACGACUGGCUGUUGGCCACUGUGAUGCAGGCAAUCCUUGAAAUCCCCUGCUUACACAGUAAGAACCAAAACUGCCACAUAGGCUCAUAAUUUGGGUUUUUCCACUGUGAAGAAGGACACAGAAGCACAGGUCUAAUCGUCCACGUGUUCUUUGUUGAGUAAUGUCUUCCAUGGUGUGCAUUAGUUUCCAGUAAUCAGUGUAUCAUGUACAUGUACUUAUAUCUUGGUUUAAGAAUCUGGUAAUUGACAGGUGACGUCUUGAAAGUCAGAUGUGAGACAUCGAGAAUUAAAAAUUUUAUGGUUAUGUACCGACUCAAGAACAGCUGUGUUCUCGGGAAGAAAGCACAGCCAUGUUUUGGUUUUCUUGUCUUCAUACCAGAGCACUACAGCGAGAGAGAGAUAGAGAGACAGUGGGAGAGCACUAAAGUUGUGCAACAGACUUGCGCAUUUGUGAUGCAUUUAGUAACCCCUCGCAGGCUGGGUUUUUCAAGUGCAAAGAAGCAAGUGCAACAUGUGAAAAGAAUUAAUAAAACAAUUGCAAAGUGUGUGUGUGUGUGUGUGUGUGUGUGUGUGUGUGUGUGUGUGUGUGUGUGUGUGUGUGUGUGUGUGUGUGUGUGUGUGUGUGUGUGUGUGACUUACUACUGGGUCAUUGUGUCUCAGAUAAAUCAGACCUAACUGGCUUUUGCAAUUUAAUGUUUGUUUGUUUUUUUAUUACUGUGUGUGCUGAAAUGCUGGACUUUUAUUCAUCUUCAUUUCUUAACAAUCCAAUAGUCCGGCAAUUUUUGAUGCUUCUGUCCCAAACUACAGAUCCUGAUUAAUUUUGAUGGUAAGAACAACUGGUGAAGAUUUCAGGCUUUUAUCCUAAUAUUCUGUGAUAUAUUAAUGUUCAAACAUUGCUGCAAAAAGUGACAGUUUUUCAAAAAAAUAUAUCUUGAAAAGUAGUUGAUAUAUGAAGCUAAAAUUUCACAGCACGUAUUAUAUAUGUUCAAACACUGUGCUAUAAACAUUGUAACAAAAAUGGAGAUAGCUGAGCAGGAAGUGUUCUGAAAAUUGGUUGAUUUGAGAUGGAAUUACCCUGCUAGGAUCUAUUAGUGAGUCAUUCAUGUGUUAUUUAUGCGUCUAGACUUUAUGAUGCUUUAUAUGAUGCAAUUCACAUACAGGAUCCAGCAACUUCACGGCUUGUUUGCCUGCAUGAUGUCUGUUCUCCAUCUGUAUGCCUGAUGACUUUAAUCCUCUCUCUGUCAUAACUGACUUUCAAGACACCACUGCCAGUGACCAGAUUAGAAGCCUUCUUAAUCCAAGACAUAAAUUUACAUGAUACACUCAUUUGCUGGAGCUAAUGCACAUUCUGAAAGACAUUACAAUAAGUACUAAAAGACAGAUCUUCAGAAAUGCGUUCGUUUAUACAGUUAAAAUGUUGGGUAGUAAUAAAUUAAGGCAAAUGAUUAAAGUUUCUGUGAAAGUUUCUUUGCCUUCCUGUAGCAAAUAUCCUGCAAUAACCUUUAAAUCUAGUUCACCUCUGAUACCUCUUUCCCUAAACAAAUAUGCACAGUGUAAAACUUGAUUCCACGACCUGCCUCCUUUCAGUUUGAAGCCAGCCUGAGAUUUACCAAUGAUUUUUGGACACAUAACAAGGAAAAUAGCAGAAAAGCAAGACUUUAUAAACUGCAGCUCACUUCGUCUCAGUCUUCUCUAGCACUUUUUCUGAACUCAGAGCAACAUCUGGCUCAAACCUGGAACCACGUCUCUGACCUUUUAAAAGACAGCAGGUUUUCUAGCGAUAUAAAUAAUACAAAAUGAGGUCAACUCAAGAUUUAUCUGUUUGCACUACUUUUGUGAAAGUGUUAAUAUUUUAAGAUUCAGUAACCUGGUAAAUAUUAACAUUACAAAUGGGGAAAGUGCACUUUUUGGUACAUAAUGUACCACAUAAGGAAGAAAAGGACAUUUUGUCUUGUGUGGAAUUUCCACAAAACCAAGUGUUUUGUAAGAUGUAUGUUUCCAUGUGGCUCUCAAGCUGGGGACCAUCCAACAGCUUAAACUGUCAGAAGAGUCAUCAUCCGUGUCUUCUGUUCGAACACAUUUUAUUGUCGUGCGGUGAAAUCAUAUUUGUUUAACGACCGCUCUGCUUAGAUUGGGCGUAUAUUAUUAUUGCGUUUUCAUUUUGUUUUGAAUUCAGGCCAGUGUUUCGACUGACUUUCGGAACAAUUUGUUUUUAUAUUUUUUUGAAAAGGCAGUAGCGCCCGUGCUACAAAAGGGACUUCAAAAUAAAACAGAAGCAGCAUUGGUAGUCUUUUACUAUUCAAAUUAAGUCAUCUAAAAGCAUACAGCGUAAAAUUAUUAUAGUAUUUUAAGCAGAAAUUCAUAAUUAAGCACUGAGGAGGCAAAAAAGCAACCUGUUAUGAAACCGUUUUUAUUGUCUACUACUUUACAUAAUACACUUAGGAGAAAGGGUGGGUGGGGGUUGGACUGCGAUACAACACAUCUACAACUGCACAAGAGUUGCUAGCUGUAAAUAAAAGCUAUGUGCGUUUUCCUGGAAUUAAGUACAGCUGUGUGGCAAUGGAAAGGAAAAUGCACGAAGACGAUGAGAAACACUGAAUAACACAGACAAAGUGGGACAACGUGAGCAGAAAAACGUGUUUGUCAUCUGUGUCUCAAAUUAGCAUGUGUGUGGCUAAAAUGCUUGUUUUUUAUUAGUUUUCCACAGUUUUAACUAUUUAUCUCUGGUACAUUUAGUGCCAAGGGUUGAUAUAAUAACAACACAAAGCUAAAAACCUGUUUGCAGACAGUCUAGUUAGUAAAAGUGUGCAGAAAAUUAAGCACACAUGUUACUCAGAAACAGAGGUGUGCUAUAAAUUAGAAGUACCCAAAAGGUUUGUUUCCUUUUUCAAACUAGCAUCCAGCGUAAUGGUUACCUAAGAGGAUUUGAGAUUAAACAAGUUGAAAAAGAAAACUUUUUGAGCUCCCAGAUGACAUGACUCUUUUCUACCUUUAUAUUUGUCCAAGGCCAUUUUGGACAAUAGUUGAAAUCUGGAGAAAUCCUUUGGAAUUCGGAGCAAAAUAUAGUGCAAAAUAUAGUGACCAGUAUGCUCCAGCAGGAAGCAGCAUCCUACACAGCAAAUUCAAAAGUGUUAAAUUUUUUGGUGUUAAUAGUCUCCUUGCAAAAGUAGAGUUAAUUUUACUCUAAGCAGAGUCACAUUCUUUUAAUGUAACUCUGAGGUGUAAAAUGAUAGUAGUUAAAAUAGAGUGUUAAAAAUGAGUGUUUCUCUGUCAAAUCUGGAGGUGUUACAAUGGAAACAUUAACUCUUGACCUCUUAACUCUGAACUCCUACAGGGGCUAUGACACCAACAGAGUAAAUUCACAGACUCCGCCCUCAGCACCAUAGGCUCCAAUCGAAGCUGAAGUGAAGCCGUUUCAGAACAUUUUGCUCUACAUAUUUGAGUUGUUUGCCAUGCUUGGAUAUGCUUGUGAAGAUGGAAUAUGGGGGAGAGCAGAAGUGCGUUGAAGUUCCACAAAGGGAUGAAUGAAGGACAUGCAUAUUGUAUUAAAGAAAUAAGUCAUGAGAAUGCUGUUAUUUGCAUUUACCAUGUCAGACCUUUUGAUAAACAAAAUUCUAAUGAAAGUGAGAACAUGUAUACUGUUACAUCUUUCAGAAAAUGUUUUGAAAUUGGGGUGCACAGUUCAGAAUAAAUGUUUUUCAAAAACCAUUGCAUCUUUUU
ensembl:lncRNA